rnacentral:snRNA from 1 species
AGACAAGUCUUGCUCCAGGCU